AUACUGAGGGUGCAAGCGUUAAUCGGAAUUACUGGGCGUAAAGCGCACGUAGGCGGUUUAUUAAGUCAGAUGUGAAAGCCCUGGGCUUAACCUGGGAACUGCAUUUGAGACUGGUAGGCUAGAGUAUGGUAGAGGAUAGUGGAAUUCCGGGUGUAGCGGUGAAAUGCGUAGAUAUCCGGAGGAACAUCAGUGGCGAAGGCGACUUCCUGGACCAAUACUGACGCUGAGGUGCGAAAGCGUGGGGAGCAAACAGGAUUAGAAACCCUAGUAGUCC
rnacentral:rRNA from 1 species